rnacentral:rRNA from 1 species
UACAGAGGUCCCGAGCGUUGUUCGGAUUCACUGGGCGUAAAGGGUGCGCAGGUGGGUUUGCAAGUUUGAUGUGAAAGCCCCGGGCUUAACCCGGGAAUGGCAUUGAAUACUGCAGAUCUGGAGGAUUGGAGGGGGGACUGGAAUUCGUUGGUGUAGCGAGUGAAAUGCGUAGAAUAUCAAGAGGAACACCAGUGGCGAAGGCGAGUCCCUGGACAAUACCUGACACUGAGGCACGAAAGCCAAGGGAGCAAACAGG